UUUCCCACCUUUAUUCCUAUGUGAAUUGUAAAUGAAUUUUUAAAAUCACAUGAGCAAUUUCUUUGGGUGCAGUGAGCAGCCUUUGUAUGUUUAUUCAUUGUUGCCAGUAUACUCCAGAUUUAAUAAAUAUUUGAAAAAACAAUCAGGACUUAAAAAAUGCAAUAUUCUUCUCACUGUAUUGGGCCAAAGACCCUCAAUCAUAAUAUUUUAAAGCCCAAACAUAUAGUUUCAAGUUCAGAAGAAAGUCCUAAGUCAAAGUUUUCACUUUGAACAUAAAACAGAACAGAGGAAGGUUGACUUCCCCACGACUGUUAUCUGAGAUUAAGGAAGAAGAGGAAAGGAAACUUAAAAUCAUAAGAUUUUGACUUAGAAGGGACUCUGAAAUUAUAGAGCAUAACCCUAAGCCGUAGAAAGAGAGCUGCCUUUGGAGUCGGAGACUCGAGUUCAAAUCCUACUUCUACCAACUUGAAUCCUUUACAAAACACUUACUAUCUCUAGGCCUCAGUUUCCUCAUCUGUAAUAUUAAAGGACUGGUCGAGAUGGAUUCUGGCAUCUCUCCCUGCCCUAAACCUCUAUCCUUAAGAAUGGGAAGCUCCGAGGACGAGGGAGUCACUUUCCCAAAGUCACAGAGAAGACACCCUGUUUUCCAGAGGAAAAACCCAGAAGUGGUCAAUGAUCCUUUGAGCUCACCCUCUGGAUGAACUCAACUACAGCAAAAUCCCAGAAUUGUUUCAUACCAGCACCAACUGGUUCCUGAACUCAGACAAAUACUUGUAGAAACCACAUUCCAGUCAAGAAGCCCUGUUGUGAAUCAAGCUUUUCUCAUUUUUUUUUUUUGUUGUUGUUAAUCAGCAUUAUGAGAGCUACAGCUCACUGAAUAGCCAUUGGUAAAUGUACUGAGAUUUGCCCACAUUAAAACAGAUCAAGAGAA